rnacentral:rRNA from 1 species
UACGUAGGGCGCAAGCGUUGUCCGGAAUUAUUGGGCGUAAAGAGCUCGUAGGCGGCUUGUCACGUCGGGUGUGAAAGCCCGGGGCUUAACCCCGGGUCUGCAUUCGAUACGGGCAGGCUAGAGUGUGGUAGGGGAGAUCGGAAUUCCUGGUGUAGCGGUGAAAUGCGCAGAUAUCGGGAGGAACACCGGUGGCGAAGGCGGCGAUCUGGGUCGAUACUGACGCUGAGGUGCGAAAGCGUGGGGAGCAAACAGG